rnacentral:rRNA from 1 species
GACGAACGCUGGCGGCGUGCUUAACACAUGCAAGUCGAACGGAAAGGCCCCUUUGGGGGUACUCGAGUGGCGAACGGGUGAGUAACACGUGAGUAACCUGCCCUUGACUUCGGGAUAACUUCAGGAAACUGGGGCUAAUACCGGAUAGGAAUCCUUGCUGCAUGGUGGGGGUUGGAAAGCUUCGGCGGUUUUGGAUGGACUCGCGGCUUAUCAGCUUGUUGGUGGGGUAGUGGCUUACCAAGGCUUUGACGGGUAGCCGGCCUGAGAGGGCGACCGGCCACAUUGGGACUGAGAUACGGCCCAGACGCCUACGGGAGGCAGCAGUGGGGAAUAUUGAACAAUGGGCGGAAGCCGGAUGCAGCAACGCCGCGUGCGGGAUGACGGACUUCGGGUUGGAAACCGCUUUCAGCAGGGGCGAAGCUUGUGGUGACGGUACCUGCAGAAGAAGCACCGGCUAACUACGUG